rnacentral:rRNA from 1 species
UACGAAGGGGGCUAGCGUUGCUCGGAAUCACUGGGCGUAAAGCGCACGUAGGCGGCUUCUUAAGUCAGGGGUGAAAUCCUGGGGCUCAACUCCAGAACUGCCCUUGAUACUGAGGAGCUCGAGUCCGGAAGAGGUGAGUGGAACUGCGAGUGUAGAGGUGAAAUUCGUAGAUAUUCGCAAGAACACCAGUGGCGAAGGCGGCUCACUGGCCCGAUACUGACGCUGAGGCACGGAAAGCGUGGGGAGCAAACAGG